GCAGAGGUUGCGGUGAGCUAAGCUGAGAUGGCGCCACUGCACUCCAGCCUGGUGACAGAGUGAGACUCCACCUCAAAAAUAAAACAAACGAAAAACAACAGAAAAGCAAAGCGUACAUGUGUUUGGAUAUACACAGGUGAUGCCUGAAACUCAAGCAUUGGAGCAAGAGGACUAGCAAGAUUCAAACCAAUGUGUGUCUCUCUCCCAAGAUGGUGCAGUUAAUGACCCCAGUGUUGCCAUGAAGACCCAGCACGAUGCUCUGACUCAGACUACUGGGUGACCAAGUCAUCUUGUCCUUCA
rnacentral:lncRNA from 10 species